GCCUGGGUGGCUCAGUCGGUUGAGCGUCUGACUUCGGCUCAGGUCUGAUCUCACCGUUCCUGGGUUCGAACCCUGCGUCAGGCU
rnacentral:tRNA from 1 species